rnacentral:rRNA from 1 species
UACGGAGGGCGCAAGCGUUAUCCGGAUUCACUGGGUUUAAAGGGUGCGUAGGUGGAUUGGUAAGUCAGUGGUGAAAUCUCUGGGCUUAACUCAGAAACUGCCAUUGAUACUAUCAGUCUUGAAUACCGUGGAGGUCAGCGGAAUAUGUCAUGUAGCGGUGAAAUGCUUAGAUAUGACAUAGAACACCAAUUGCGAAGGCAGCUGGCUACACGUAUAUUGACACUGAGGCACGAAAGCGUGGGGAUCAAACAGG